rnacentral:rRNA from 1 species
GUGGCAGCAGCCGCGGUAAAACCAGCACCUCAAGUGGUCAGGAUGAUUAUUGGGCCUAAAGCAUCCGUAGCCGGCUUUGUUAGUUUUCGGUUAAAUCCAUGUGCUCAACGCAUGGGCUGCCGAAAAUACUGCAUGGCUAGGGAGUGGGAGAGGUAGACGGUACUCAAUAGGAAGGGGUAAAAUCCUUUGAUCUAUUGAUGACCACCUGUGGCGAAGGCGGUCUACCAGAACACGUUCGACGGUGAGGGAUGAAAGCUGGGGGAGCAAACCGGAUUAGAUACCCGGGUAGUCCCAGCUGUAAACGAUGCAGACUCGAUGAUGCAUUGGCAUAAUAGCCAUUGCAGUGUCGCAGGGAAGCCGUUAAGUCUGCCGCCUGGGAAGUACGUACGCAAGUAUGAAACUUAAAGGAAUUGGCGGGGGAGCACCACAAGGGGUGAAGCCUGCGGUUCAAUUGGAGUCAACGCCAGAAAUCUUACCCGGAGAGACAGCAGAAUGAAGGUCAAGCUGAAGACUUUACCAGACAAGCUGAGAGGUGGUGCAUGGCCGUCGCCAGCUCGUGCCGUGAGAUGUCCUGUUAAGUCAGGUAACGAGCGAGAUCCCUGCCACUAGUUGCCAUCAUUAUUCUCAGGAAUAGUGGGGCGAAUUAGUGGGACUGCCGUUGUUAAAACGGAGGAAGGAAGGGGCUACGGCAGGUCAGUAUGCCCCGAAACUCUGGGGCCACACGCGGGCUGCAAUGGUAGUGACAAUGAGUUCCAAACUCGAAAGAGAGUGGCAAUCUCUAAACGCUACCACAGUUAUGACUGAGGGCUGUAACUCGCCCUCACGAAUAUGGAAUCCCUAGUAACCGCGUGUCAUUACCGCGCGGUGAAUACGUCCCUGCUCCUUGCACACACCGCCCGUC